rnacentral:misc_RNA from 1 species
GAGUGCUAAGCACUAAAGACUUGCCCAAAUUUUGAUUUUUAGCUUAUCGGUUCAAGGUCUGAAACUGUGUUUGUGUGUGUUGGCCGUUUAUUUGACAGAUCGCAAAAUUUGUUAUUGGAACUUUAGAAGACCUAAAAAUAUUGGUAAUAUUUUGUAAAUAUUGGUACAGUAACUGGUUUUUCAAAACAAAAAAUCAUAUGGAUGGAUGUAAGGAUUUUAAAUGUGAAUCUUGUGAUAAAACAUUUCCUCGCAAAAAUAGUUUGGAGCGCCACAGAAAAAAAGUAAAAUGUAGUAGGUCUACAGAAUCCUUCAUGGAAUAUUUAUUUGAUUCUAUGGAAGAAUUUUUGGAAUGGAAA